rnacentral:lncRNA from 1 species
CCCAUCUGCAGAGGGGGCAACUUUCACCGACCCCGCGGUGGCCGCCGCCCCCUCCAGCCUGUUCGGGCGCCCGGCACCCUCCGGCCUGGGUUCGCGCUGGCCUGCGCGCCCCUCCCCCGCUCUGGGCUCCGCUCAGUCUUCACCACAUUGCCCCCAGCUCAGCGGCGAGCGCCCGGGGAGCUGCCGGAGGGAGCGGGGCGCGAGGCUGAGCACGCAUCGCAGGGCUUCUUCUUGCAGCGCACACUGUACAUGGUAGUGUGGGGGCGAGAGAAGGUGGCACUGGCCCCUGGGCUCCUCCAGCGGCGGCGGCGGAGGCUGCGACUCCUACGCGGUCCUCCGCCUCCCGCGCGGCGACCACCGCGCUGGGCUCCCGCCGCCGCUGUCCCCAGCCUAGCCCGCCGCCACCGCGGCCCCUAAUUAGUAUUUGCACGGUUCCCGCAUCCUCUUGGCCGUUUCGUCGCUCUCGGCGUCUGCAGGGUUUGUUCCUCUCUCCCUUCCCCAGAUGCGGCGCUCGAUCGUCAUUAUUCGGAGCUCUGUAUCUCCGACCUCCUUCGGGGGUCUGAGGGGCUGGAGUAGCGCUGCUCUACGCCUGUGGCGCGUCCUGGCAGCCCGGAGGCUCAAAAAAACUCAGAGAAAGUCGCGUCUUCUCUCCUGGGCGAUGAGGAGGUGGCAGCACGAAAAGCAUCGUCCGGGUCUCUGAGACCUCUGCUCCGUGGCCGGCGCUGGGCCAGUCCGGUGCACUUGUUUAUUGUCGCGCUGCUGGUGCGAGCCACGCUGCCGCAGACAUGAUGGGCCCGGGGCGAAGCAGGCACGCGGCGGCCGAUAGGUGGCAGCCAAGAGCGCGAGCCGCGCUGGGCUCCAGAGGCUCAGCCGGAGCCCCCCUCGAAUGUCACAUCCUUGGGAGACAGAGGAGUCUGGGACCAUGUGCGUAACGCGAGCGUGGGAGUGUGCAGUUCUCGUAUUGGAGAAGGGAGGAGUGGAGAUAACCCCGACAGUGCUAGGCUUGGUGGUGGGGGUCAGGGGCAGAUGAUUCCAGCCCAGUGCUGCCCGCUUGCUGCUUGCUCCCUCUUCCAUUUAGAGUGGGAGAGCCCUUGCUGCCGUCUCCCACAACACUGUAGAGGACCCUGGAAGAGGGAGUGGUUCGUUCUAGCUGUAAAGAGGGAGCUACUUUUAUUUUUAAGAGUUACGUUUUUAUAACUAUGUUUGGGCAGUUCAAGGGAAUGUGAACGACUUUCAGAAAAAAAAUGGUUUGUGAAUGCACUGGGAAUGAACUAGAAGCUGGAAAAGCCCUAAAUAGAGGCAGUCUCAAUAGAAAGCGAGUUUCUUCAAGAGUCACCUGCUAAACUUCACUAGCUUCGUCUCUACAGUGAAGAACUUAGCUACAGAGAGGGAGAGAGAGAGAGAGCGAGAGAGAGAGGAAAUAAAAAUGCAUCCUGUGUGCGGAGCUGUCGCACUAAUAGUUAUCUCCAAGGAGCUUCACUAUUUGUGGAUUGAAACUCACAUGAACAUUCUGAUUUUGCUAUACCUGCUCAUUAUUUGAAGAACAACUCUUAUUGUAUUUAAGAAUGUUCUGUGCUGUCUGGGCCUGUCUUGCAAUUGAUCCUGGAUUUGAAGCUGACAACUGUGAACUAGUAGGAGAAUGCUGCCACAGGAGCUGCCAUGCCUGAAGAAAAUUCAAAAAAAGGCUCACCCAGAUCAUCAAGGGUAAAAUGACACAUGGACCAGUGACUCUUGGAGUUCCUGGCUGUACUGAUGGACAUAACCUGAAGCCCAAGAACCAGCUAAGUGCAAUUGUUCAGUGGAGGAAUGCAUAUAAUUGGAACUUUCAAGAUGAGUGGUCAUGCAGUUGACUUUCUAAGAGAGCUGUGAGGAAAAGCAAGGGUCAUGUCUGAAGAUUAGAAGGGGGCAUCCUUUUCUGUGUCAUCACAUUAUUAAAAUUUUUAUUUUUACUAGUACAUGUCUGCAGCACUUAAUGAUUACAUUCUUCAUGCAGAGUUGGUUCAUGUAGACAGCACAUCAUAAUUCUUUUUUCCUCACCUUCUCUCCCUCCCUCCUCC